GAGCGUACGUAGCUGAAGCUCCAUCGUCAUCAGCUUUGAAAUGGCUCUCGAUUUCAAACUAGAACAAUGCUGUGAGCGUUGCAUCUAUACUUGGUGGAGGUUCAGACAAUGCUGGGUCAGGCAUUGCCAGACGAUUGGUGUUGAAGACUGGCAUCAAUAUCGUUCUUGCUUGCAAUAUCCCCAAGAACAGCCCAACGAUUGAGGCAGAUGCUGAGAGAAUAUUAGUGAAGAAGCUCAUUGAUCUCGGCUUUGGGAGAGGCCGAAAUGUAAAAUAGAACUACUGCAAUGCUAAUUUUAAUCAAUACCGCAUGCAUCAAGACUUGUGCCAGCCAACACAACGGAAGGAUUUCUCCAUUGUUCUUUGAUGGAUCAUGUAUAAAUAUACAUACAUUAGAAAGCUUCCAAGGUCCAAGUUUGAGCAGAUUCACUUGCUUGAAGCA